GCUGUGUGGAGAGGGAGGGCUGGGGCAGGCACACGUGGCAGAGGCGGCAGUGGCUGCCUCGACCAUGCAGACUCUUAAGGGCAGGAGCCACUAGGAGUGACACUCGGCGGUAAGUCCACAGGGGACCCCAGCCCCAGCUCGUGUGCAGCAGUGUGUGAGGGGCCGGGUGAGUUGGGGCUCCACCACCCUGCCGUGAGUCCCCCUGUCCUGCCACAGCAGAACGCCCUCCGUAUCCUGCCCUCCUGCAGGCUGCAUGGUGCCCCAGCUGCCAUGGGAAACCCGGUCUCGCGACUGGGCUGCCUGGGGGAGGGAAGGAGGCGCGCCGGGGCCAGCCCGAGGGCCCAAGUGGGCCCCUCCCUGCCGGCAGAUCCCUGGGGCCAGCCCGCACCAGGGAUCUCCUGGGCCCGCUGGCGACCCGUGCCGUGGAGGUGACAGAGGUGACAGAAGUGACAGAGACGGUGGUGACAGAGGCUGUGGAAGUGGGACCCGUCCAGCCAGGAAGUCAGCCAGCCCUGGCAUCCCCAGGGCCCCUGGACACUACUCGCAGCUGGCUGGAAGGCAUGGAGGAGCUUCAGGCCUCACAGGGACCCCUGGCCCCUGACGUCACGGUGGCUGUGGCCCAGCUGCGGGAGCAGAAGCUCCUCCGGCGCCUGCUGGAGGAGAGGGCGCUCCAGGUGGAGUUGAGGCUGCAGGAGGCGCAGAGCCCUGGACAGCUGCGGGCCCGGUGGGAUGGCCUGGUGCAGCGGGCAGAGGCCAGGUGAGGCUGUAGGGGCUGGGCGGAUGGUGCUGGUG